UGUAAAUGAUGAUAAAAAAAAUUUCCCCGACAUCACAGUGAGGGUACAAACUGAUUUAAUGAGCCUGAUGC